UCUUGGCUAAAAGAAAAACAAGAUCUAAUGAUUUCCUUAUGGGUACAGGCUUGAAGAAACGUAACCUACGGACUGGCAAACAGCAGGUACUCAUAUAGUUGCCAUCACUAUUGUAUCUGAGGACCUCACAUACAUCAGAGCUCAUAACUUCUCUGUGAGGGCUUUGGAGCGGAGCCCGGAGCUGGAGUGCGGAGCAGUGGAGCUGCAGGUUUUUGCCUGGAACUGGAGCGGAGCCGGAGCACAGCUCCAAAGCCCU